rnacentral:lncRNA from 1 species
ACAAUUAUAUAAAAUUUAUUUCCUAAUUCACCUGACCUCAUUAUUCUAUUACUUAUUUUUUACUGAAAAAAUCUAAUUAUAAGUUACUAUAAAUGCAAUUUAGGAAAAUGCAACUAAAAAUGAUCUCUGAAAGAAAACUUGACAUAAAGCAGCCUAACAAAGUGACAGCAUCCUCCCUAUAUUUGUAGCGGUAGAAAGUAUGAGAGGACUACAACGUCUUUCUAUGCAAUACAGCGAGUCCCAAUAAUGCUUUGUUUCUAAAGCCCUCAACAUCGAUUCAAAAGUCGCAUGAAUUUUUGGUUCGUCUUAGGUAGCAUUUACUUUUUAGAUUGAAGUAAGAAUUUUAAGAUUGGGAGUGGAGGUAGAUUGUUUAUUUACACUGAAAUGAAAACAUGAAAUGGAGAUCAAAAUUCAAUUUAUGUGUUUACUUUGUUUUGAAUUGGAAGUAAAUAGUUUCAAAUUAUAAUUUUAUCCUU